rnacentral:rRNA from 1 species
GGAUGAACGCUGGCUGUGUGCCUAAUACAUGCAUGUCGAGCGGAGUUCUUCGGAACUUAGCGGCGAAUGGGUGAGUAACACGUACUUAACGUGCCCCCUUGAUUGGGAUAACGCUGAGAAAUUAGCGCUAAUACCGGAUACUUAAAUAUCUCGCAUGAGGUAUUUAUAAAAGGAGCCUUUAAAGCUUCACAAGGGGAUCGGGGUGCGUAACAUUAGCUAGUUGGUGAGGUAAUGGCUCACCAAGGCGAUGAUGUUUAGCGGGGUUGAGAGACURAUCCGCCACACUGGGACUGAGAUACGGCCCAGACUCCUACGGGAGGCAGCAGUAGGGAAUUUUCCACAAURGGCGAAAGCCUGAUGGAGCGACACAGCGUGCAGGAUGAAGGCCUUCGGGUUGUAAACUGCUGUUAUAAGGGAAGAAAAAGUCGAGGAGGAAAUGCCUUGACCUUGACGGUACCUUAUCAGAAAGCAACGGCUAACUAUGUGCCAGCAGCCGCGGUAAUACAUAGGUUGCAAGCGUUAUCCGGAAUUAUUGGGCGUAAAGCGUCUGUAGGUUGUUUGUUAAGUCUGGUGUGAAAACUUGGGGCUCAACCCCAAAUUGCAUUGGAUACUGGCAAACUAGAAUUGUGUAGAGGUUAGCGGAAUUCCUUGUGAAGCGGUGGAAUGCGUAGAUAUAAGGAAGAACAUCAACAUGGCGAAGGCAGCUAACUGGACAUAUAUUGACACUGAGAGACGAAAGCGUGGGGAGCAAACAGGAUUAGAUACCCUGGUAGUCCACGCCGUAAACGAUGAUGAUUAGCUGAUGGGGAACUCAUCGGCGCAGCUAACGCAUUAAAUCAUCCGCCUGAGUAGUAUGCUCGCAAGAGUGAAACUUAAAGGAAUUGACGGGGAUCCGCACAAGCGGUGGAGCAUGUGGUUUAAUUUGAAGAUACGCGUAGAACCUUACCCACUCUUGACAUCUUCUGCAAAGCUAUAGAGAUAUAGUGGAGGUUAACAGAAUGACAGAUGGUGCAUGGUUGUCGUCAGCUCGUGUCGUGAGAUGUUCGGUUAAGUCCUGCAACGAGCGCAACCCUUGUCCUUAGUUAAACGUUCUAGGGAGACUGCCCGGGUAACCGGGAGGAAGGUGGGGACGACGUCAAAUCAUCAUGCCUCUUACGAGUGGGGCAACACACGUGCUACAAUGGAUGGUACAAAGAGAAGCAAUACGGCGACGUGGAGCAAAUCUCAAAAAACCAUUCUCAGUUCGGAUUGUAGUCUGCAACUCGACUACAUGAAGUCGGAAUCGCUAGUAAUCGUAGAUCAGCUACGCUACGGUGAAUACGUUCUCGGGUCUUGUACACACCGCCCGUCACACCAUGGGAGCUGGUAAUGCCCGAAGUCGGUUUUGUUAACUACGGAGACAACUGCCUAAGGCAGGACUGGUGACUGGGGUGAAGUCGUAACAAGGUAUCCCUACGAGAACGUGGGGAUGGAUUACCUCCUUUCU